GGGGUGGUGAGAAGGCCCGGGGGCCAGCAGCAGGAUCUGGUAGACUCUGGGGAUGCAGCGUUCACUCCCUGCCAGCCAGGCGGCUGUGCGGCCUCAGAGCCAGCGGGCUGCUGAGGGGCUACAGGCCUCUGGCUGCACUGUCUGAGCUCUCCCUGGAUCUCCUGGCUUAGCACCUCUCUGCCCCUCCUCUGGGCCACUGCUGGGAUAGCAUGUGCUCUGUGUGGAAUAACAAGGCUGGCUGGACAACACUGACUAGGCCUGCAGUGGGAGUGCCUUCAAGGCCCGGCCAGAAGGAAGCAGGAGUCCUAAGGGACCUGACCAAGGGAGAAUCAGAUUCUUCCGGAGAACUGCAUUCCUGGGCUGGUGCUGAGGUGCUACAUCCUCCUUUCUUUCCUCAUGAAGAAGUUUUGAGAAAAGCUGAAUCACUCAGCCUAAAGAAAGCCCGAGGAAGUAUAAAGAAGUCCUGGAAAUCCCCUGGAAAAAAGUGCCAGGUAGUGUUUGAGUUCGUCUUUGUUGUCAAGUGUUUGGCUCUGUCACAGUUGUGGCAGCUCGAGGUUCCCGGCAGAGGAGCAGUGGGGAGUAGGAAGUGGAGUUUUGCAUACAUGAAAUCUGGUGCAGAGGUGGGAAAAGGAGGGCAGGCUGGUCUCGAAGCUCUUGGAGCAGGGACACGGGACAUGAGCAGGGACACAAGAGCAGCAGCACCUAGGGAAUGCGGCUGAGUUCUCAGCCAAUAGAGGAUGGAAGCUGGAGAGCUGAAGGCCACACACCAGUGUUCCAACUUGGCCAGCCGGACUGCAGACAGGCAGGCAGGGCAGAGUAGGCAGCUGCUCCAAGCACAUUCCAGGAAGUUGUGAGUUUGUGGGAAGAAAAGUGGCAAGUAAACUCCCCCCCAAGUAGAGAUAAGCCAGGUGAUCUGAGGGAACUGAAAGCCAGCCCAGGAGUAAGGUUCAAGAAUGAGCAAUGGCUGGGGGCAAGACCCCAGACAAGCAAUCUAAACUAGGACUUGGGAUAGUUCUUCUGAAAGGGAAGAUCUUAACCCCAAAGCAGCUUUCCUUCCUGCUGGAAACCCUCUUAGAUAAGAUAAGAUGAAUGCGAUUCUUUGGCGACAAACAUACUACCCAAAUAAUUGUUGGAAAAUAAUACAUUCUUCACCACCUCUCACCUGGACUAUUUGUUGCACAGCUUCUUACCUUGUCUCCCGGCUUUUGGUCUUCCUCAGUCUUCCCUCAUCCACUUGCCAAAGCAGUUCUUCUACAACACAAGUCUGAUCACAUCUCCCCUCUGCCGAGGCCUCCCACCAGCUGCCUAUUGUUCACACCAGGUUCUGGAAGAUGUUUUGGUGAACCCACGUUCUGUGAGUCUAAUUCUGUGAGGUAAACAGCCAUGAAAGGGUGUGUAGUUAGGUAAAUUGGGAAUUCUACAGACUAUAUUCUCUGUUUUAAGACAUUUCCGAUGGAGAUGCAUUUUCAAGGUUCUGAGAAGUACUGUAACAAUUUGUUGAAAAAAUAUCAAUAAAAUACAAACAUUUUAAAAUCAUGGUUCUGUUCUCUCUCUGUUCAGAAAUAUUGAACUAUAGAGGAAAAAUAUCCACCUUGCUUAACAUAAAGCACAUGUGGUCUUUUGGGCCGAGCCCUUCCUUGUCUGCUGUUUAUUUCUCAUCAGUCCUCCUCCUGAGUUCAGAAUCUACUCUUCUCAACAAAAACAGUUUGUGCAACUUCCCUAACCCCUGUCUGUAAAAUGUUACUUAUUUUUAAAAAGCUUGCUCAGAUAUAACCUCUAUAGGAAGCUGACUUUUUUUCCUCCAGUACUGGGCACAGAACUCAAGACCUUGUACUUUCAAGGCAGACGCAGUGCUACUGAGC
ensembl:lncRNA